rnacentral:lncRNA from 1 species
UAUAAAAAAAAUAUUUUUACUAGUAGAAAAUAGGAGGACCAUCAACUUAUAGAGUCCUUGUAGGAACAGAGGUGUUUAAUUUCCGUGUGGGUUGUAGCACCGUAGAUAUAGGUAGAAAGAUAAUUGACUAGUUUUAUAAAGUAUAAUUGCUUGAUUGCUCUUGUUUUGUAUUGUUAUUCUUUUAUUCUUGUUUAUUACUACUUCUACUUCACACCACCAAUUAUAAGCAACUCUUAAUUCAGGCCAUCUUAUAAUUUUAGGUGAGAGAGAAAUUUACCCUUACAAAUAGA